rnacentral:rRNA from 1 species
UACGGGGGGGGCAAGCGUUGUUCGGAAUUACUGGGCGUAAAGGGCCAGUAGGCGGCCAACUAAGUCAGACGUGAAAUCCCCCGGCUUAACCUGGGAACUGCGUCUGAUACUGGAAGGCUUGAGGAUGGGAGAGGGAUGUAGAAUUCCAGGUGUAGCGGUGAAAUGCGUAGAUAUCUGGAGGAAUACCGGUGGCGAAGGCGGCAUCCUGGACCAUUACUGACGCUGAGGCGCGAAAGCUAGGGGAGCAAACGGGG